rnacentral:rRNA from 1 species
AUACGGAGGGUGCAAGCGUUGUCCGGAUUUAUUGGGUUUAAAGGGUGCGUAGGCGGUGCGCUAAGUCAGUGGUGAAAUCCCGCAGCUCAACUGCGGAACUGCCAUUGAUACUGGCGCACUUGAGUACGGACGAGGUAGGCGGAAUUUAUGGUGUAGCGGUGAAAUGCAUAGAUACCAUAAAGAACACCGAUAGCGAAGGCAGCUUACUGGACCAUAACUGACACUGAGGCACGAAAGUGUGGGUAGCGAACAGGAUUAGAUACCCUAGUAGUCC